CAGUUGUCCGUCGCGCUCCGGGAUGACGUAAGCCAAGGAGGGGAGGAGUGAGAGCAGAGACCAGUUGAGGUGUUCCUUUAGGUGCUGGGUUUAAUGCAGAAGUACUGUGCCUAUCACUCAACAUAGUUUCAGCUUUCCAGCUAAAUGACGUCUGUGCCAGUGAUACCGGAGCCCUACACCCAUGUUCUUGCAGAGUUUGAAUCUCUGGAUCCAUUACUUUCAGCCCUGAGGCUGGACUCUAGUCGUCUAAAGUGCACGAGCAUAGCUGUGUCUCGGAAAUGGCUGGCUUUGGGCAGUUCGGGCGGAGGUCUCAACCUCAUUCAGAAAGAAGGCUGGAAGCACAGGCUUUUUCUUUCCCACAGGGAAGGUGCGAUUUCUCAGGUUGCCUGUUGUUCACACGACGAUGAUUAUGUUGCUGUGGCUACCAGUCAAGGUCUUGUGGUUGUUUGGGAAUUAAAUCAAGAGCGCCGUGGGAAACCAGAAAGAAUUUAUGUGUCUUCAGAACACAAGGGCCAAAGAGUCACAGCUCUCUGUUGGGAUACAGCGGUUCUUCGAGUUUUUGUGGGUGAUCACAUGGGGAAGGUUUCGGCCAUCAAACUCAACACUUCUAAACAAGCAAAGGCAGCUGCUGCCUUUGUGAUGUUUCCCGUUCAGACAAUAACGACAGUUGACUCCUGUGUGGUCCAGUUAGAUUAUUUGGACGGGAGACUACUUAUAUCUUCACUCACUCGAUCCUUCUUGUGUGACACCGAGAGAGAAAAAUUUUGGAAAAUUGGAAACAAGGAGAGAGAUGGAGAAUAUGGAGCUUGUUUCUUCCCUGGAAGGUGUUCUGCGGGCCAGCAGCCCCUCAUAUAUUGUGCCCGCCCUGGCUCCAGGAUGUGGGAAGUGAACUUCGAUGGGGAAGUUAUAAGUACCCAUCAGUUUAAGAAACUCCUCUCGUCGCCCCCUCUCCCUGUGAUUACUCUAAGAUCAGAACCUCAGUACGAUCAUACGGUUGGAUCCUCCCAGUCUUUGUCUUUCCCCAAACUUUUGCAUCUUAGUGAGCAUUGUGUGUCAAGUUGGACAGAAAGAGGAAUUUAUAUUUUCAUUCCUCAGAAUGUUCAAGUUCUUCUUUGGAGUGAAGUCAAAGAUAUCCAGGAUGUGGCGGUCUGCAAGAACGAGCUGUUCUGUUUGCACCUGAGCGGGAAAAUCUCGCACCUGUCCCUCGUGUCUGUGGAGCGUUGUGUGGAGCGCCUGCUAAGGCGAGGGCUGUGGGACCUGGCUGCUCGCACUUGCUGCCUCUUCCAGAAUUCUCUCAUUGCGGGCAGGGGAAGAAAAUCUUUGACUGUAGAUAAGUUGGAGCAUUUGAAAUCUCAGCUGGACCUCACAACCUAUAGUGAUUUGAUUUCUCAACUGGAAGAAUUGAUCUUAAAAUUUGAGCCUUUGGAUUCAGAUUGCAGUAGUAGGAGAAGUUCCAUUUCAUCACAUGAAAGUUUCAGCAUCUUGGACUCUGGUAUUUAUCGUGUCAUUAGUAGUAGAAGAGGCAGUCAGUCAGAUGAAGACUCUUGUUCCCUUCACAGCCAAACUCUCUCAGAAGACGAGAGACUUAGAGAAUUCACCUCCCAUCAGGAAGAGGACCAGCCAGAUCCGGGCUGCAGCUCACACGGAGGUGAAGACAAUGUUUCUCAUGUUCCAGUGACGUUCGAGACAGAUAAGAACGAAACUUUUCUCCCCUUCGGCAUCCCAUUAUCAUUUCGCUCUCCAUCUCCUCUCGUGUCUCUUCAGGCUGUCAAGGAAAGUGUUUCUAGCUUUGUGCGUAAAACUACUGAGAAGAUUGGCACCCUUCACACAAGCCCGGAUCUGAAAGUGAGACAGGAACCCAGGGGCGAUGAGCAGUCAUGUGAGGAAGAUGUGAGCUCGGUCACCUGCCCAAAGGACGAGGACACUGAGGAAAAAAAAGAAGUAACUAGUCAACCUCCAGAAGAAGAUAAAUUCCAAGAGCUCAAAAUAGCAACAGCAGAAGCUAUGACCAAGCUACAGGACCCACUGGUUUUAUUUGAACCCGAGUCUCUGAGGAUGGUUUUACAGGAGUGGCUUCCACAGUUAGAAAAAACAUUUGCCACGCAAGACACUGGCAACUCAUCCAUGACGUCUAAUGAGGAUGUGGAAUUGUUUGAUGAGUCAAAAAAUGGAAUAUUAGAUGAAGAUAAUGAAAAAGAAAAAGGGGACUCUUUAGGCAAUGAAGAAACUAUUGCUCAAAUGGCAUGUGAACCUGUAAACAGUCUGAGGGAGCCCUUGGAUGGCCUUUUUCGAGUAUGUUCUCCAUGCAGUAUAGCAGAUGGUCUCCAGAAGGACCUGGCUGAAUUGACAACAUUGUGUUUGGAAUUGAAUGUGUUCAAUUCUGAGACUGAAAGCACAAAUGGACACGUGGACAACGCUUUGCAACAGUGCUCUCCUGAAAUUCUGCCUUGUCAGUUCCUGAAGAAGUACUUUUUUCUCCUGGACUUGAAGAGGGCAAAGGAGAGUAUCAAGCUUAGUUACACUAACACUCCUUGUGUUUGGGAUACUUUUAUUGAAGGAUUGAAAGAAAUGGCAAGUUCCAGUCCUACAUACUUGGAGAUGGAAGAAGGAGACCUACCAACCAGAUUAAAGUUCGUGGAUGACUCAGUCCCUUUUGACAGUCCUUUGUUGAUUGCUUAUGCUACCCGAUUGUAUGAGAAGUUCGGGGAAUCUGCCCUCCGAUCCUUAAUCAAGUUUUACCCCUCUAUUUCACCUUCGGACGUGAUGCAACUUUGUCAUCAGCACCCCGAGCGGUUUUUGGCCUACUUAGACAGUCUGGUGAAGUCAAGACCUGAAGAUCAACGGCCCUCCUUCCUGGAGUCCCUUGUACAACGAGAGUCUGUAAAAUUGGAUUGGCUACUUUCGGCAGUGUCCCAUGAUGCUCCCCCAAGCACAAGCACUGUAGAUGAUGAAGGACACCCCAGGCCUCAUUCACACCUGUUUUCCUGGGGUUAUAGUCAGCUGAUCCUUCAUCUAAUCAAACUGCCUGCAGAUUUUACAACCAAAGAGAAAAUGACGGACAUCUGCAGGUCUCAUGGUUUCUGGCCUGGAUACCUUACUCUCUGUUUGGAGCUGGAGAGAAGAAGGGAAGCCUUUGCCAACAUUGUGUGUCUGAAUGACAUGAGCCUGAUGGAAGGGGACAGUGGUUGGGUUCCAGAGACCGUGGAGGAAUGGAAGCUUCUCCUUCACCUUGUACAGAACAAGAACAUAAAGCCAGUGCCCCAGAAGUCAGCAAAUGGGAACUUCGGUGAUGGGCCUUCCCCUGUCAAUGUGGAGAAUGUGGCACUGCUCUUAGCCAAGGCCAUGGGUCCAGAUCGGGCCUGGUCACUGCUACAGGAGUGUGGUUUGACCCUGGAGCUGUCAGAGAGGUUCACUAGAACCUGCGACAUCCUGAGGAUUGCUGAGAAAAGGCAGAGAGCCUUGAUACAAAGCAUGCUUGAAAAGUGCGAUCGAUUUCUCUGGUCUCAGCAGGCCUAGUGGAAGAAGACUGAACAGGAUGUUGUGACAUUUUGAGGAAAACAGAAUCAUGCUGCUGAAUCUUCUGAAUGUGUGUGUCACUGGAGGAAAGGCACUACCUGAAAACCCUGCCACCUUAUUGGGAACACUUUGCCCAGUGUCUGCAGCCUCCACAUUUAUGGCUUCUCUGUGGCCUCAGUGUUUCUCUACCAAAGUAGACCUUCAAAAGGAAUCGGUUGUUGUUUACUCCCAUGAAGUGUUCUGGACACGGAAUAUCCCAACAUCACACCUUCCCUCUAGCAUCGGCUGGGUUACGGAGCGCGUCGAAUGUGAGUCUGUACUAAGAACAAGGGGCUGAAAUCUUUACUUCAGUCGGGAACAGUAACUUCACAGUGAGGUCAGAGCCACAACCAGCCCUUCCCACCCUUGGAUUAGAAGAAAUCUGGACACCAAGCAACUUGCUGAAGAAAAACACAGACUUACAACACCGAGCUGCUGUGCCAAGAUGACGCGCCCGGAGUUUCUAGUCCAGCCUGGUAUGUGAGCCAAACAGAACAGUGAGGCCUGGGGAAUUCCCACUGGGUAGUUCUUCCAGAGGGCUAAGAAAAUAGGAACCAGCGCAGCCCGUGCUGAGUCAGUAGAGACUAUUCUCCUGGGUUGUGGCUUCCGUCUUGGCCAGCUAUACAUCAUUCCUGAUGGAUGACUCUGAAUCAAUCUGCAUAUUCAGUUACUAUGUUCCCCUUGUGAUCUAGGCCCAUGUGUAUCUGAGAUUAGCAGACAAAGCCUGGCUUUGGGGACAUAGUCUCAGUGUUCUUAAUUCUCAGGCUGUGGAGCUUCUAGUAAACGGCUCAUUUCAGGGCUUGAGGCCUGUGGGUCAUGCACAGCCCCCAGCGUGGCUGAGCCCUGUGUUUGGCUUAGCUUGUGUCCCCUCCACCCAAACACACACGCACAAGCUCGGUCUUCUUAUGAGUGCCCAUCCAUCACCCACUGGUAACAAAGAGGCAGUCCUUACACCAGGAAUAACACACAGUUUUCAUCAUUCCAUCUGCUAAGCGUUUAUUACACACCCAUUAGGUGCACUCAGUCAGCAAAUGGAGAUGUAGAACUGGAUGACUCUGUCUCUGCCCACAGGGGGUCACAGCCCCGGUCCUGGGAGCACAGAGAAGGGGUCAGUACUUGCUGGGCAGGCCAGGAGGUCUGAAGUAAUUGGGGUCUUUGCCACUCCGGCCCCAUUCAUUGGCUAUCUGGUCCUGCCUCGAGUCCUCCUCUCCGUGGCCACUGUCUCCAUACUUGAAAAAGUCUGUGACCCUCUGAGACUUCUCUCUGGCAUCGCUUGAUGGAGGAGAGAAGGAGGGAGAUGAAUCAGAGGCUGGGGUUGGAUGGAGGAGGUGGACAGGGAGAACAUGAGGGGGACUGCACAGACCCCUACAGGGUCCUUCUCUAGGGCUAUGCCCUCCUGAUCCCCAAAGGCAGCUACCUCUGCUCACCACCCUGACACCCCAAGAACCUGGUUACCUGAGCACUCUAGCAGCCCAUUCGCCCCCAGGGCCCCUCCGGGCAGCCUCAAAGUUCCCCCGGGCGUGGAAGUAUUUAUCUGCACCUAUGAAAUUGGCUUCUCUCAUGUCCGAGUAAGCUCUCCACAUGUCUUUAGCCCCU